GGCCUACGGGACGCAGCAGUGGGGGAUCUUCCGCAAUGGGCGAAAGCCUGACGGAGCCACGCCGCGUGAUCGAAUGAAGGCCUUCGGGUUGUAAAGAUCUGUUGACAGGGACGAAUAAGCAAUGCGAAUAGUUUUGUGUAUGACGGUACCUGUUUAGAAAGCUCCGGCUAACUACGUGCCAGCAGCCGCGGUAAUACGUAGGGAGCAAGCGUUGUCCGGAAUUACUGGGCGUAAAGGGCGCGUAGACGGAGGAGCAAGUCUGAUGUGAAAAUCCGGGGCCCAACCCCGGAACUGCAUUGGAAACU
rnacentral:rRNA from 1 species